CGCCCGUCAGAGUUGCGGGGUGUCCGGCUUGCUUUUCCUCCCCACUGUGUGGGCUUUGGACCUCCAGAAAAUGCAUACUUGACCUAAAAAUAAUAUUAAGUUCCUGUGAUGUGUUCUGGGUCCCCCUAAAGGGAAGAUGCGGAGCGACGCUCGCUGAUCCCCCUUCCUCGCAGGUGGCGUUACUUUGCAGUCGCCAGGCGCGUUAGGGAAAACAGGAGCCUGUAAGGAAGGAGAAAAACUCCCCACAUCCAAAAUUCCUGGCUCCGGUUGACCCCUUGUUUAGGAACGCAGGGCUCAGCACCCCGACUCUGGGAGAAGAACCCCCACGGGCAUUUCUGUUUCUAGAAGGACCCGCGUCCCUCCCCUCCUCCCCAAGGCUAGGCUUCCCUGAGGGGCUAGAAAGGAGGGUUUGAUAAGAACAAUCGGAUGGCCAACUCUUUCGCCUAGGCACGGCGAAAAUUGUCACGCCUUAGCUCACAGCAAUUUGAGAAGUGGAGCCCGGAACCAGAUCUAGCUGGGUUUCAACUACAGUUCCAGAAGUGAACUACAGUACAGCUAAUUCAAUAAUCUACUGACGUUGGUUGAGCCAAAACCAUUGUGGUGGUUUGAAUGUGCUCUGUCCAGGGAGUGGCACUAUCUGGAGUUGUGGCCUUUAAGUAGGUUUGGUCUGGUUGGAGGAAGCACGUCAUUGUGACCUUGAACUUUGAGACCCUCACCUUAGCUGCCUGGAAGCCAGUCUUCUAGCAGCCUUCAGAUGAAGAGGUAGAAUGCUCAGCUCCUCCUGCACCGUGCCUGCCUGGAUGUCGCCAUGCUCCAACCUUGAUGAUAAUGGACUGAACUUCUGAACCUGUAAGCCAGCCCCAAUUAAAUGUUGUUUUUAUAAG